rnacentral:piRNA from 1 species
UCACUCUAAAGGAAACUGAAC